rnacentral:rRNA from 1 species
UACGGAGGGUGCAAGCGUUAUCCGGAUUCACUGGGUUUAAAGGGUGCGUAGGCGGACAGGUAAGUCAGUGGUGAAAUCUCUGGGCUUAACCCAGAAACUGCCGUUGAUACUAUUUGUCUUGAAUAUCCUGGAGGUAGGCGGAAUAUGUCAUGUAGCGGUGAAAUGCUUAGAUAUGACAUAGAACACCCAUUGCGAAGGCAGCUAACUACGCGAUAAUUGACGCUGAUGCACGAAAGCGUGGGGAUCAAACAGG